rnacentral:rRNA from 1 species
UCCGUAGGUGAACCUUGCGGAAGGAUCAUUACCGAGUGAGGGCCCUCUGGGUCCAACCUCCCACCCGUGUCUAUCGUACCUUGUUGCUUCGGCGGGCCCGCCGUUUCGACGGCCGCCGGGGAGGCCUUGCGCCCCCGGGCCCGCGCCCGCCGAAGACCCCAACAUGAACGCUGUUCUGAAAGUAUGCAGUCUGAGUUGAUUAUCGUAAUCAGUUAAAACUUUCAACAACGGAUCUCUUGGUUCCGGCAUCGAUGAAGAACGCAGCGAAAUGCGAUAAGUAAUGUGAAUUGCAGAAUUCAGUGAAUCGUCGAGUCUUUGAACGCACAUUGCGCCCCCUGGUAUUCCGGGGGGCAUGCCUGUCCGAGCGUCAUUGCUGCCCUCAAGCACGGCUUGUGUGUUGGGCCCCCGUCCCCCUCUCCCGGGGGACGGGCCCGAAAGGCAGCGGCGGCACCGCGUCCGGUCCUCGAGCGUAUGGGGCUUUGUCACCUGCUCUGUAGGCCCGGCCGGCGCCAGCCGACACCCAACUUUAUUUUUCUAAGGUUGACCUCGGAUCAGGUAGGGAUACCCGCUGAACUUAAGCAUAUCAAUAAGCGGAGGA